GAGCGAGGGGGCUCACCUAGACUCCUCGCCCAGAAGGUAAAGGCAGAAGUUGCUCAGAGCCUCUAGCUUCCCCCUCAGUCCUGAGGGUGAGAACAGGCAUCUGCUUUGAAAUUAGUUUCUGGGCAUGUUCCUGCUGGUUCCAGAAACUCCUCUUUUGCUCUUCUGCAGCUUUUGGAAUGGAAACUCUUCUCAGAUCCUCUUCCAAGGCCCCUGAAGGAUAGCCAAAUAACAGUAAGUGGUGCAGAAAACUUAUUUACAGAAGCAUUUCAACUAAUAUGGAAGGAUAUGGAAUCAGAAGAAUCACCAUUUUGCAACCCCUAAUGAAAUAACUGAUCAAACAAGAAUUUUCAAUGGAUGAAACAAGGAUCGUGAUGGAUGGAGAACUUUACAAUGGAGGGAUCAAGUUGUCACCACCGCCCCCCCCCCCCCCCCCCCCCCCCCCCCCGUGAAUCUUAGCAUUGCUAAAGGGGCACAGCCACACACUGUAUGCCUCCUGAUGGGAUGCAGUCUGAAGCAUUCCGCUCCACCUAUGAAGGGCUCUUGCCAAAUGAAAACACUGAGCAUUAUUCUAAUCAAAUCUCCAGAGCUAAUCUCCAUUUAACAGGAAAUACUGUGGAUGGAAGAACAAGUUAAAUGACACAAUGAGGAAGUAAGAAGACACAUCCAGCAUGUGGGAUAUUCUAAAGGAAAUCUGACCCAAUUUCUUCAAGUUGUCAAUGGCUGGGUGGGGCGGGGGUGGGUAGGUAAGAGGUGACCAACACAAGGAACAUAAGGGCCUUGUUUGGUUUCUGAUUUGGACAACCCAACUGUAAAAGGACAUUUCAGACAGUUGGGGACAGUUAAUUAUGGACUGGAUAUUUGUGAGGCCAAGGAAUCAGUAUUGAUUUUGUUAGAUAUAAAAAUGACUUUGGGGCCCUGUAAAAAAAAAAAAAGGAUAUUUUCUAGAGAUACAUACUUAAGUAUGGAGUGAAGUGACAUAUUUAAUUUUAAAUGUUUUGGCAAAUAAAAAAAGGACAGAAAAAGUGGCAGAAUCAAUAACAUUGAAUUAAGUGUACAAAGGUUCACAGAAUUAUGUUCUCUACCUCUGUGUAUGCUUGAACAUUUUUGUAGUAAAUGUUUUAAAUGAUGCUCCUCUGGUAAACAUGGUUCCUAGUAACUCCUAGAACAUCCUCCCCACCUGCCCUGAAAGACUUCCCAUGUGUGACUCCUCACACACAGACCCCAGCUCUCCCUGCCCUCUUCUGGAAGAACGUACUAGGGAUGGAUUGUGCUCACAGGCUUCCCUUUAUCCCCUGCAGUUCUCUGCUGGCACAUUCCUCAUGUUUGGGACUUUCCCAGCUGUGCCUCACAGCUCUGAAGGACCAGGGAAACCUUAAAGAAUAAACCUAUUUUGAAUAGUUCUUAAAAUAAACAGAAAUAAUCCAAAAU